CAGGACCAUGUCCUUCCUGUGCUGGGCCCCCAGAGGUGGAUGCAGUACUCCAGGUGGGCUCACACCAGAGCAGAGGAGUGGUGGAAUCACCUCCUUCAAGCUGCUGGGCACCCUCAUUUGGAGGCACAUGGCUGGCUCAUGUCCAGCCUCUCACCUUGCAGCAGCCACAAGUCCUUCUCGGCAGGGCUGCUCUCCAUCCCUUCAUCCCCCAGCCUGUGAGAUCAGCUGGGCUGGGACCCUGUCAUAGCCCUUGACAGAGCUGCUGGGCAGGAUGAGCUCCCUGGUGAAGGAGGCAGAUCCCACUCCCCACACAAUUCCACCCUGGCCAUGAGGUCACAGCAGCCUGUGGGGUGACAGCAGGCUGAGGUGACAGCAGGCUCUGAGGUCACAGAGGUUCCAGAGCCCCGUGGUUGCACAGCACCCCAAGGACCGAGCAGUCAGUCCUUGACCACGACUGUUGUGGCAGCAGCAGCGGCAGCGGCAGCAGUGGUGCUGACAUUGGGACAGCGGUGUCAGGACAGUGGUGGCAGCAAGAGCUGCAGGACUGGCAGUGGGCAAGGCACCAUGGCCUUUGCUCUGCACCUCCUCCUCCUGCUCCUCCUGGCAGUAGCCCUGCCUGACAGGGCUGCCCAGGCUGCUCCAUGGUGAGCAGGGCAAGCAGAUGAGGGUGGUAGGAAGGCUUCUCAGGCAGCUUGGCUUCAUGAAGAUUUUCUGCCUCUGGAGCCCCAUGCAGGUGUGUCUGCAGUGAGGACGUUUCAAGCUCCUUUUCUGGUUGCUGCACACAACCCCAGCUCCCAUUGCAGGGGUCCUCCUAGAGGGAGGAACAAACCCACAGGAAACAAGAGGCUGAGUGUACUGGAGAGACGCCAUGGUGGGUCCAUGUCCCUCAGCCUUCUCCUGAGACUCAGCAGCCGGG